rnacentral:rRNA from 1 species
UACGAAGGGUGCAAGCGUUGCUCGGAAUUAUUGGGCGUAAAGGGUAGGUAGGUGGUCUCAUUUGUCAGGGGUGAAAGCCUUGGGCUUAACCCAAGAAGUGCCCCUGAAACGGUGAGACUAGAGUCUUGGAGAGGGUCGUGGAAUUCCCAGUGUAGCGGUGAAAUGCGUAGAGAUUGGGAGGAACACCAGCGGCGAAGGCGGCGACCUGGACAAGCACUGACACUCAACUACGAAAGCGUGGGUAGCAAACAGG